CGCAGUCCCGGAAGCGGUUUUGGGGGGGCCGCUUCCUUCCAGCCCGAGAGGCCAAGGAAGCGACCCCAGGAGGUCCCCAAACAACGGCCCGCGUGGCUUUUCCUCAGGUCUACGGAGCCCUCUCGUUGCAGAAGCAGCCGCGCUCAGCUUGGUCUGAUCUCCGCCUGUUUGCACUCGGCGCUGUCUCUUCCUCGGCCCUGUUUUCCAAAUAUGUCACAGCAAGGGGGCCCUGGUGAGAGGCGGUGGCCGGAGUGACGUGGAUGGUCACGCUGCUGCAAGUCUCCAACCAUCACUUUCCUUCUGCGCCAUGGAAACACGCUCGUGUGCAUUUGCAUGGAAUAACUUUAAGGCUGGGGAAUCAGAGGGAGUCCCUUCCUAGUUAAUAUGCUGAUAUUAGGGUAUUUCGAAACUCUCGCACAAUUUAAAAAGCCACUCGUUGGGGGGAUAGGAAGGGUGUCGGGAGGCAUCUGUGCCUCCUAAACACAGACGUCCUGGCUCGCAGAAUGGCAUUCUCUGCUAAGAUGCUUGGCAGGAGGGACAGUGAGAGAGAGGAAGAGCCACUCCAUGGGGAUUCCAGUAGAUGGAAAAGGACACAAAAUAAUAAAGAUGGGUUGUGCCUAGAAAGCAGUAUUUUGCAAAGGGGAUGUCUCUCCAGGUGGAGAAUCCAGAGGAGUGUCACUGGGGCAUCUUCCCACUGUUGUUAACUUCAUAUUGUUUGAAACGACCUGCCAAUCAUGCUCUGCCACACACCUCUUUGCCUAAAGUUACACCUGGGUGAAGGUGGAGCAAGAGGUGGAAUUACAGAACCCAGCUGUUCUAUCCAUCGAGAACAAUCCGAAGUGGAGAGGCCGAAUCGUGGACUGAACAGGCUCCGUGGGUGAAUGCAAAGGGUCGCUCUUUCAGAUAUGGACAGGGACAAGGUUCUACUUUUCGCAGUCUAGCUAAUUUGAGGACACAGACCCCCAUACAUCUGACAGCAGUGUCUUGAGCCUUAAGUAAGAGCUCAGGACAGGGGACAGCCAGCUAUGUUAGAAGCUUUGGCGCUCCCUUUUUGCCUGGAGGCCGUGGCGCUCCUCUGAAAAUGAAAACCACUUUCCUUCCAAGCAUGCAUACCACCAUAUGGGACUGAGAUCGGACCCCUCCUGCACCAAGGUGAUACAGGGAGUGACUACAGGAGGCCACUCCCAAAUACUGAACGUCACUGUGUUUUACUUAACAGGAUCAAAAUGAAGCCAGCUCUCACCAUGGCGGGCCACUACCAGCCACUGGAUGACAGUAGCCAGCAGACCAAGGUGACUGGUGUGGUCGCCCCGUCUGAUCUUCACAUCACAUUUCCCUUUCCCAGGCACAGCCCAGAGUUAGAACUUUUACUUGCUGCAAACUCAGAUGAAGGGGAGCCAGUCACAUCCCAGACACAGCGCCGGGUGCUUCCACGGGGUUCUCUCUGCUAUGCUGUAAGAUGGGGAUUUUCUCCUCCUGUUGCAGAAGGGGAAACUAACACCCGGACAGCCUGAGUAACAUGCAGCGGGUCAGGGGCGGUGCCAAGAGAGGAACCUGGGUCUGUCUGACUCCAAAGGUCGUGUUCUUCCCACUUCCUCAUUUUCUACCCAGAAAAGUACCAAUUUUUAGAUAAACAAACACUGUGACCCAUCCAUACCUGGGCAUCAGCAGGUUCUCAGUCUCACUGUGGUGGAGCUCACUGGGCUUCCUUGGGUCUAGUUAGAGGUGACAAGUGUGUUGAUGACAUGAGGCCAUAAGAUCCCCUGCCUCUUAAGAAUCAAUAACUUCAUUUCUGGCUGAAAACACUGAGUUGACAAUGUUCGUUGGACCCUUUGUCACAACAAGGUUUAAUUCUCAGUCGAGAGUAGACAGAUCGGCUGGCAUUGUCACCUGGAAAGGAGUUUUGUGUCCUUUUAUGUCCUCCCUCUCUAUCUGGAAGCAAAAAUCUGAAGUUCAUUUAGCCAUAUCCUCUGUAACUAACUGAAAGAGAAGCGAGGAAAGUGUCCCCAAGAAGCCCUCAGGCAUUUGUUCACCUUAUUAAUUCUGCAGGAACAACUCAGAGGCACUUGCAGACUUUUAACCCAGAGCUUCACAUAUUCCCAUGCCAAGCCUCUGGCAGCAGGGCCACAUGGCUCAAGCAGACCUGAACUAGACCUGUGCACAGCACUGUGUCUGCAGGACCAGGUGGGCACUGGAACCUAAGACCAUCUGUUCACCCAGUGUAUUUUUAUUUGUAUUUUUUUUUUUUAUCUCUAAGGGCUGGGGUUAGAUGUUUAUGAUGCCAGCAGGUGAGCCCACAAGUGCCGAAGCAUCAUGUGCUCCUGCUUUGAUUCUCUCUGGUCGAUGCUGUUGGCCUCAGUUCUCCUUUGGUGCUUGGAGAGACAGUGGGAGAGAAUGAGCCGAUCGCUGUUUCUCCACAGUGGGGCAGGAUGAAACCUUGCUGUGUUCCCUCCUGAAUCCAUUGCCUAAGGACCAAGAUAUUCUUUUUUUGAAUGAAAUCAAAGUGGUUUGAAUGAAAUCAAAGUCAUUUAAAUAAAAACUAAUGAUAUCUGGGGCCGGCCUGUGGCUCACUUGGGAGAGUGCGGUGCUGAUAACACCAAGGCCACGGGUUCGGAUCCCUAUAUAGGGAUGGCCCGUGGCUCACUUGGGAGAGCGUGGUGCUGACAACACCAAGUCAAGGGUUAAGAUCCCCUUACCGGUCAUCUUUUUAAAAACAAACAAAAAACUAAAGAUACCUGGUUUUUGGAAACUCUGGGAAUAGAAGUCCUACCUUUAGAGUAGAAAGGUAGCUUUUAUUCAUGCAAUCAACAAAUGUGUAUUGAGAGCCUGUGACGUGUCAGGCAUUUUGGCAGGUGUUGUAGAUUCCACAGUGAGAGAAUACACUCGAAUUCUGUUCUCGUGGCACUUACAGUCAAAUGGAAGAAAGAAGCACGAAGCAAACAAUAGCCCAGAUGAGUGUGCAAUUAUAACUUGUUAGCACAAUAUCAAUUUAUAUAAUUUUAAAAAAUAGAAACACAAUCACUGAUUUAAAAAGAAACACAUAAUAUAUUAAAAGCGUAAAAACAUAAAUGGGUGGCUGGCUGGUUGGCUCGGUUGGUUAGAACAUGUUGUUAUAACACCAAGGUCAAGGGUUCGGAUCCCCAUGUCAGCCAGCCACUAAAAAAUUAAUUAAUUUAAGGGGCCAGCCCGUUGCUCACUCGGGAGAGUGUGGUGCUGACAACACCAAGGUCACGGGUUCGGAUCCCAUAUACGGAUGGCCGGUUAGCUCACUUGGGUAAGCAUGGUGCUGACAACACCAAGUCAAGGGUUAAGAUCCCCUUACCGGUCAUCUUUUGGGGAAAAAAAAAAAAUUAAUCUAAAAAAAAAAAAGGAAAGAAUUACAAUGAAAUUUCUUAUGCUAGUUCCUCCGAAGAGGGAGAGAGGAGACAAGGAGUGGCCGGAGGGGCAACAGUGUUCAAAUGGACUUUAACCAUACCUGUUCUACGUUUGAUUUCUAAUAAAAGAAAAGAAAAAUAUUUGAAAUAAAUAUGGGAGAAAGUUAACGUUCAUUAACGUCGUUAAUUCUGGGUCAUGAUUACAUAGG